GACGAACGCUGGCGGCGUGCUUAACACAUGCAAGUCGAACGGAAAGGCCCUGCUUUUGUGGGGUGCUCGAGUGGCAAACGGGUGUGUAACACGUGAGUAACCUGCCCUAGACUUUGGGAUAACUUCAGGAAACUGGGGCUAAUACCGGAUAGGAGCUCCUGCUGCAUGGUGGGGGUUGGAAAGUUUCGGCGGUGGGGGAUGGACUCGCCGCUUAUCAGCUUGUUGGUGGGGUAGUGGUUUACCAAGGCCUUGACGGGUCGCCGGCCUGAGGGGGAGGCCGGCCUCGUGGGGACGGAGAUGCGGCCCCGACUACUAGGGGAGGCAGCGGGGAGGAUUGUUGCACGAUGGGCGGAAGGCUGAUGCAGCAACGCCUCGUGGGGGAUGACGGCCUUCGGGUUGUAACCCGCUUUCGCCUGUGACGAAGCGUGAGUGACGGUAAUGGGUGAAGAAGCACCGGCUAACUACGUG
rnacentral:rRNA from 1 species